CUACUAAAAAUACAAAAAUUAGCCAGGUUUGGUGGGAGGCACCUGCAAUUUCAGCUACUGGGGAGGCUGAGGCAGGAGAAUCGCUUGAAUCUGGGAGGCAGAGGUUGUAGUAAGCUGAGAUUGCACCAUUGCCCUCCAGCCUGGGCAAAGAAGUGAGACUCCAUUAAAGAAAAAAAAGAAGUUUAUUUGGGUAAUGCCAUAUGGAAAGGAGAUGAAAAUAUAGAUGUAUAUGGGGAUAUAAACUUGUUGCAGAUUACACAAAAUUAUAUGUUUAAGCAGAGAAUAGUCCAGUUAAAAUUGGGAUAUACUUAAUUUGCUAAGAACAAUGUAAUGCUACCAGCAUGCUUAAAAUUAAAAAAACUAAGAGAAUGUAAGUUCAAAAUGAGUGUCACAUGACUAUAAUUGAUAGUAAAUCUUCACUUACCUCCAUAACUUAGGAGUCAUGAAAAGAAAGAAGUUAGCAGACCAGGCAUGUAAAUCAGAUGUAAGUAGGAUGGAAUACAGAAAUAUUCCUAGUUCUGGGUAACCCAAUUUGAGGUCAUUUUAAGUUUACUGAAUUUGGAUUAAUCAAUUGGUUCAAUAAUCAAGGUAAAAUGGUCCAAAAGAUCCUGAUAUAUCCAGAAGACAUAUUACUGAGGUUUUACAAGGCUAAUUUGAAAUGCAGAUUAACAUUCUAGGUUUCCUUACAUAUCAUUAAAAUAGACCAUAUUAAAAAUCAAUUUCAGAAGCUGCUUUAUGACUGGAAUAAAAAACAAUUAAAGAUGUAGAGUAACAUUGUAUUUCUGUCUGAUGCUGGGAGGCUAUUUUUUCAUGGCAAGUAAUAACUGGGUAAACAGAGAGAUACUUUAACUUUACAAAUAGGAAUCCUAGAAAACAAGGUUUUGCUCCUAGAAAACAAAAAUAGUUCCUUUCAAUUAAUUUUCUAAAAAUGGUUGCAUUGGUCACUUUUUAAACUCCUACAAUCUAAGCAGCACUGAAUUCCUAUUUGAUUUUUUUUUUUGCUAAUAGUUUUCUUCAGAAGCAAACCUGCUUUAGGGUGAAAAAAAGUUUCAGACCUUAGACAGAACCUUCAUUUCCUCUUAAGUAUGUUUCUCCAUCAAAAACAAGUAUUCAAAUAAAGAAUCUCAAUUAUCUAAACCUAUUUUUGGCCAUCUUCCGGAAUUUCUUGUUAAAUCUCCUUUGAAAUGCCACAGUUGCACUCUUGGAAAACUUGUCUUCCUGGUUUUCAAAUUUCUGUUUAUUAUUACAGCUCUUCAGCUAGAAUGCCAGGUCUUUGUGCUGUACUGUUUCUUGAAACUGGAGACUAGCACACUUCCCCCAAUUCAAUUACUUGCUUUCCAUUUGAGAAAUUAAAGCCAGGUCAAUUUUAUAAAGUUUUAACUGACUGAAUUAUUUGGACUUUAAGUUCUCAAUUUCAUUCCCUUAGCCUAAUACUGGGAAAGAUCUUGGUUUUAUUGAGAGAAGGUAAGGUUUAAGAGUAUUAACACAUUUCAGUCAUUGACUCUUAUAAUUGAUAUAAGCGUAGGGAUUUUCUAACAGGCACACGCUUGAGAUAUGACACUCUAAGGAAAAAAGGGAGAGUUCUUAUUCAAUUCUAGAAAUGUUUAAGAUUACAUACUAAUGAUAUAGUUUAUUUACAUAAAUGUGUGUUCAUAUUUUUUCUAAAAGAAAGGGACCGACUGUCCUUCAUAAAGAGCUUCAGUCAGCUUUUCUACCCUUAUCAGCCUUAUGUAACUGCCAAAUUUACCUCUCCAGCCUGACUUUUACAUAGAAUUCCAGUUCUGUAUAUCCAGCCACCUUAAAUGAAGACAUUUCAAGCUGAACGCCUAAAUAUCACCUUAAAUACAUUGCAGAAAUGGAACAUAUUUUCCCCCUCUUAAACUAGUUUCUUUUCUUUUUUUUUUGACAGAGUCACUCUGUCACCCAGGCUGGAGUGCAGUGGCAUGAUCUCGGCUCACUGCAGCCUCCACUGCCCAGGUUCAAGCGAUUCUCCUGCCUCAGCCUCCUGAGUAGCUGGGAUUACAGGCAUGAGCCACCACGUCUGACUGAUUUUUGUAUUUUUAGUAGAGGUGGGGUUUCACCAUGUUUGCCAGGCUGGUCUCGAACUCCUGACCUCAAGGGAUCCACCCACCUCUGCUUCCCAAAGUGUUAAGAUUACAGGCAUGAGCCAUCGCACCCGGCCUUAAACUAGUUUCUUAACUAUCUCCUUUCUUUCAUUGGUAACUCCAUUGUCUUCCAGUAUAGAAAAUGUAUAAUCUUUUACACCUCCCUUUUAUCCAACCCAUCAUGAUAUUCAACAACUUUUUCCUUUGAAAUAUCUUAAAUUUAUUCUUUCACCUCCAUUCUCCUGCCACUAUUGCUGUUCAGGUUUCUUCACCCCUAGAUUACUACAGUAGUCACAUGCCCAGUUUCCUUGCUACCAUAUUUUAUUUCUUAGACAUUUCUAUAUAUAGUAUUGCCACAUUUAAUUCCAAACAAAUCAAUAGGCUAUAAUGCCUCCCUAUUCCCUGCUAUAUCAAGACCAAAAUCCUCUAAUUGGUUUUCUAGGCAAAGGCUCAAUAGCCUAGUUCUAACCUAGUAAUACAAAUUCAUGUAACCUUUGCCUUAGGUUUUAUGGCACAGAUCCCAGGUUACUUCUGGGGGAAUGUUGCAUUCAAUUUUGGCUUAAAUUCCUACCUACAAACCAGACAAGUCCAUUACUUGACAACUCAAUGCAUUUUAAUUUACAAGCAUGCAGGCCACAAAUUAUAAAAUGAAGACUUUUUACUGAGUCAGCAGAAACAACUGUUCAAUUCUCCUGUAAGUCCCCAGUUACUUACAGUUUUCUGCUGAGGUGAUCAUCUCAUGUGGCAUUUAUUGCCCUCUACUAAAAUGAGCUAUUAUCUGACACUCUGCUCUGUACAGACGUGUUUCUGUUUCCAUUUUCAGUUCCUUCUCCACAUGGUCUAAGUACCAGUAGUUUAGUCAGUUCUCACCUUUUUUGAGGGGAAGGCGGCAAUGGUGGUAUCAAAAUUUACACCUGGAAAACAGGUCAUAAAGAAAAUCAAUAUAGAAGGGAAAGUGCUUUACCACAGGAAUUAUUAUUUAAUUGCUGGUUGAAUUCUUGACUUUUGGUUAAAAGGUAGAUAUAACAAAUAUGUAAACCACCCUCAAAGCCAAACCAAAACCAACAGCAACAGGCUUUUCAAUCAAUGUAAUUUAUACAUUGGGUUCUGGAAAACAGAAAUGUCCUAUAAAUUUUAUAUAAAUGCUAUAUAAGGGUACAUAAAAAUGAAUCCUUAUUAUAAAUAUGACUUAAAUGUCAUAGCAGUAAACAAAUGGUACUUAUUUGAUCCACAAAUUUCUUUGCCUUCUUAGAUUUUUUUGAAAGUUUUGGUGUGGCUUGGUUUCUUUUUGAAGGGCCGAGCUGGGAGAAGGAGGAAAGGCAUUUGGUCUCCUAUAAAAUUGUCCAAGAAAGUUUAUGAGAAAGCCUAUAUCACUCAAUAAGGUGGCUCCAGUAAGUUUAGGCAUUCAAAAACAUUCCAUUAAUUUUAGAGUUACCUUAAAGAAUUACAGCAGAUCCUCAAUGCUUUUGUUUCUGUGAUUACGGUAAUGGCAUUUCUUGAAGUGAAGUAGUAAAAGGUAGAGGGCACUCCUAAAUUAUCAGAAAAUAACCUGCAUAUUUCUGUAUUUAUCUAGCAGGUAUGCAGCCUUUCUACCACUUUACCAUAAAGGUAUUACUCCUGAUUUUCAGCAAUCAAUGGUCACUUAUUUUACACCUACUAUGUUUAAGACACUAGACUAGGCUUGCAGAAUAUACGAUAAAGAAUAAGAUGGCCCCUUCCCAUAAGACAGCAUGCAUUUGUUCUAAGUCAGGUAUGGAAGCUUAAAUGAGAGAAAUGGUAUUUUUGGCUGAGGAGGAAAAGUGAACUGGAAAAAUUUCAUGUAGGGGGUAAAUAGCUUAAGUUUUAGACAAUUGAAGAUGAAGGAAAGGACAUUCUAGGAGUAAAUAACUUGAGUUAAGGCUUGGAUGAAAAUCUGAGUGAGGUUUGAAAAAGUAUUAUUUCUCUUUGGCUUAACAACAGUUAUUAUGGUAUUCAUUGACAAUUACUCCCAUAGUGGUAAAGUCAAUCUUACUUAAGGCAAAAAAUAUCCUAGAUAUAGCAUUUUGCCUAGGCAACUCUUUCCUCUCAAGAUUUCUCACCUGAUUUGCUGAGUUAAAAGCCACAGACUCCCAAUUAUUUAGGGUAAACUUAUUUAUGCCUAGGUUUCCUUCCAGUAUUUCUUACAAGUUUUUUGUUUUUUUUUCUUCAAAGCAACACACCAUGGCUCUUGAAGGGCUGCAGGCAAUCUGAAUACCCUUGUUUUCUUUGAUUAGAAAUGAGGGUAAAUUAUGCAAAGGAAGGAAAACAAUCUCAAACAUGAUUAUACUCAUUUCCCUACCAAUUCCCUAGUAUCUACUCUUUGCCUUCAUUAUACUGUAUCUACUUUACUCCUUGCUACUUCAUCAUGUCUUGGUUCAUGUUGUUUUCUGCACUCGCAAGUUAUCAUUCCUUCAUUUCACAUAAUCAAUCUUAACCACUUUUUCAGCCCAGCUCACCUUUCAUAUCCUCUUAUAAGUCUUCUCUGAUAAGUUUAAGUCCACAUUUCCUUCAAGCUUCUACCACACUUAAGUUAGCAAGCCAGAGUUUACAUUCCAUUAUUCUCUACUUGUUUCUUGUAUGUUAGUAUAAUAUUCUCAUACAGGUUACAGUUCUUUGCUGACAGGGACCAUCUUUUAUAAACUAUAGUGAAGUACCGCACCUAGAGUAGGCCCUUAAUAAUAAAGAUAAUGUCACUUUAAAAAUGCAAGCAGGAAACGCUUCAGGCAUUUAAAAGUAGUAUUUUAACAAUAACUAUUUUUGAUUAAAUAAAACUAUAUUCAUUCUUCUUUUCAGAACUUGAAGCCUCAAAUUAUCACCUCAGAUCAUCAUGCUAUUAAAAAGUAGAUGUGCAUAUGAAUAAAACUGUCCAACUCUAUCACUUAUACACAACACAGCCAUGAACAAAAGCAGCAGCCAUUCUUGAUAAUCCAAUCCCCUCUGAAACAAACAAUUUCUGGCAGUAGGAGACAUUUACAAAUACAUAGCCUUGCUAACAACCACUAGGUUAUAACGGAAAAGGUUUGUAAUUUGAAUCCUUUAGAGUGUGCAUCUUUCAAAUGUGUAGUGAAAUCAUAAAUACAAUGUAAUUUUGUUCAGUUUGGAAUGAAGUGAAAUUUUGCUUAAAGGAAAUGAAGAUUAUUCAAGUUGAAGCUUUAGUUAACCUGCAUUAGUCACUAGCAUUCUACUUCCAAAAAAAAAAAAAAAAGUCAAUCUUAGGAAAAAUUGCAAUCAAACAUCAAACAUCCUUGGCUUAAAACACAUUCAGCACAAUUUUUAAAACCUCUAUACCUACAUUACAGAAUAUAGU
rnacentral:lncRNA from 10 species